rnacentral:rRNA from 1 species
UACGGAGGGGGCUAGCGUUGUUCGGAAUUACUGGGCGUAAAGCGCACGUAGGCGGCUCUUUAAGUCGGAGGUGAAAUCCUGGAGCUCAACUCCAGAACUGCCUUCGAUACUGAAGAGCUCGAGUCCGGGAGAGGUGAGUGGAACUGCGAGUGUAGAGGUGAAAUUCGUAGAUAUUCGCAAGAACACCGGUGGCGAAGGCGGCCUGCUGGGCAGUUUAGCUGACACUGAGGCGCGACAGCGUGGGGAGCAAACAGG